UGGGGAAUAUUGCACAAUGGGCGCAAGCCUGAUGCAGCCAUGCCGCGUGUAUGAAGAAGGCCUUCGGGUUGUAAAGUACUUUCAGUCGGGAGGAAGGUGGUAAGGUUAAUAACCUUAUCAAUUGACGUUACCGACAGAAGAAGCACCGGCUAACUCCGUGCCAGCAGCCGCGGUAAUACGGAGGGUGCAAGCGUUAAUCGGAAUUACUGGGCGUAAAGCGCACGCAGGCGGUUUGUUAAGUCAGAUGUGAAAUCCCCGGGCUCAACCUGGGAAAUGCAUCUGAUACUGGCAAGCUUGAGUCUCGUAGAGGGGGGUAGAAUUCCAGGUGUAGCGGUGAAAUGCGUAGAGAUCUGGAGGAAUACCGGUGGCGAAGGCGGCCCCCUGGACAAAGACUGACGCUCAGGUGCGAAAGCGUGGGGAGCAAACAGG
rnacentral:rRNA from 1 species